AUGGAGAAUAUGCAUGAUUUUAAAUCUGUGAUAAUGUUACAUGCACCUUCAAUUUCAUCCACUUUAAAAAUUACCUUCUCAUUAAAUUUUAGUGCUUUGACUAGUUUGUUCCUUUUUGCAGUUGGUCGUAAUUCAUUUCUGGCUUCUUAUGCUUUUCUGCAAGCAGAUUUCAUUGCACUUAUUGUGUUCAUAUCAUUUUCUUGGGGAUUAUUUGUCGGACAACCAACCUGGAGUUUUGCCUCUGUGGAGUACCACCCGGUCAGGCCAGGAGCUUAGUCUAAAGGAAACUCUGCCAUCGGGGACAUCAGCUGCUGUGGCCAGAGAAGAGAACAUGGUGAAUAAUGCUUCAUACCUUAGGGCAGAGCUUCUCAAAUUUAAACGUGCAUAGGCAUUUCCUGGGGAGCUUAUUAAAUCCACAUUCUGAUUCAGGAGGUCCUGGUGGGCCUGAGAUGCUACGUUUCUAUCAACCUUCUAGGUGAUGCCUAUAGUGCUGGACCAUGGGCCACACUUAGAGUACGAUGGACUUCCUGGCUUUUGCCCAGAAGUGACACAUCACUUUUGCUCUCAAAAUAAUUAAUCAAAGCAAGUCACAUGGCCAUGCCCAACUUCAAGGCAGCACAUAAUGUAAUCCAUCAUCUACAUCAGGAAGAAGAGAAUUGGAAUUUUUGUGAACAGCUCCAGUGAAGAGCAAACAAUGUGAAGCUAGGAUCUGAAUUCAGGCAGGCUGGCCCCAGAGUCUGUGCUCUUAACUAUAACUAUAUACAGUCAUGGGUGUUGGUCCAGUCUCUAUAAAGAGAAUGCUUGCCAGGCAGACAGCCAGUCGGGGAGUUAGAGUUGACUUGUGUGACUUGACACUGGGUGACUUAGACAGCUUUAGAGUUCAGUGCAGCAAUUCUCAGCAUGGUGCUACAACUCUGAAGUGUUUCAAUUCAUUUUUGCAUCUUAAUGAAGUGCCAACAUUUAUGAAUUAUUUUUAAAUUAAAAAC
rnacentral:lncRNA from 1 species